GCGUGGAUGAUGAAGGCCUUCGGGUUGUAAAGUCCUUUCGCGCACGACGAUGAUGACGGUAGUGCGAGAAGAAGCCUCGGCUAACUCCGUGCCAGCAGCCGCGGUAAGACGGAGGAGGCUAGCGUUGUUCGGAAUUACUGGGCGUAAAGCGCACGCAGGCGGCGUGCCAAGUCGGAGGUGAAAUCCCGGGGCUCAACCCCGGAACGGCCUCCGAUACUGGCAUGCUGGAACGAGGGAGAGGAGAGCGGAAUUCCCAGUGUAGAGGUGAAAUUCGU
rnacentral:rRNA from 1 species